AAGCAGCCCGACAGCUCUGUACUGCUGAGUGGAGGAAAUAACAAGAAAAGAGAGAAGAGGCUGUUUAUUCCAUGUGAACACAUCUGCAAGUGGAUUCUCCUCAAAGCUUCAUUCAAGCUUUCAGAAGACAGCCAUCCCUGCUGACAGAUUGCCUGCAACCUCAUGAACCAGAACCCUUGGCUCAGCUGCUCCUGGACUCUGCACUGUUGUUGUUUAAAGUUGGUCAUAUCUAGUCUAUGAGCAAAUCCUGUGGACUCCACCUGCAGAAUAUACUUAGCAUCUGAUGAUUCUCAAAACCUCCUUUGCAAACAUGGGUUCAUUCCCCUCCAGUACUAUCCCGGGUUGCUGGUAAUGGUCUCUAGAUCUCCCAGAGUAUCCUAAUAGCCUCCCAACCCAUCUCUGUGGGUUUCUACCCUGGCCUACCAGUGCCUGUUUCUUGUCUGCCCCCACAUAGUCUAUUCUCAAU